rnacentral:rRNA from 1 species
AUUGAACGCUGGCGGCAUGCCUUACACAUGCAAGUCGAACGGCAGCAUGAUCUAGCUUGCUAGAUUGAUGGCGAGUGGCGAACGGGUGAGUAAUACAUCGGAACGUGCCCUGUAGUGGGGGAUAACUAGUCGAAAGAUUAGCUAAUACCGCAUACGACCUGAGGGUGAAAGUGGGGGACCGCAAGGCCUCAUGCUAUAGGAGCGGCCGAUGUCUGAUUAGCUAGUUGGUGAGGUAAAGGCUCACCAAGGCGACGAUCAGUAGCUGGUCUGAGAGGACGAUCAGCCACACUGGGACUGAUACACGGCCCAGACUCCUACGGGAGGCAGCAGUGGGGAAUUUUGGACAAUGGGGGCGACCCUGAUCCAGCAAUGCCGCGUGUGUGAAGAAGGCCUUCGGGUUGUAAAGCACUUUUGUCCGGGAAGAAAUCGCACUUACUAAUAUUAGGUGUGGAUGACGGUACCGGAAGAAUAAGGACCGGCUAACUACGUGCCAGCCGCCGCAGUAAGAC